ACCCUAGCCGCCUCCUCUCCUCUCCCCUUCCCAGCCGCUCGCCCGCCCGGCCGUCUCGCUCGCCGCCGCCUCCUCUCCUCCCCCGCGCCCCGCUCCUCCCACCUCGACGCCGCCUCCUCUCCCCUCCCGCGCCCCCUCGCCCUGCCCAUCCAAGCUCAGGGUCGAGGGGCGGGCCGGGUCCAGGCGCGGCGGCUCGAUGGUGAGCGCGAUGGAUCUCGAGCUAGCUCGGGCGCGUGGACACGUUGGUGAGCGCGCCAGCGGCCGUGGCGAGCUCGAGCCCGGGAUAAACCUAGCAUCAUGGUCGCCAUGGACGCCGGCGCUGCACCUGCGCCGCUGGUUGGUCCUCUCCGACACCGUCCGGGCCCUCCUGCACUGCAUCACCCUCCUACCGCGCCUACUAGACCUACAGGCCCCUCUCCCCCCUUCUCCUCCUAAAGCUAGAGAUUUCAGGUCGCUUGGGCGUGGAAUAGAAAACCAGAUGGAUUUCUUUUGGUGUUCAUGGAGAGGCAGAUCUGGCUUUACUUUUGUCUUCUCAUGUGUGUUGUUCUUCAAUUUUGCAGGAAGUGCUCAUGUAUCAAAUUCCAGUUGUUACUCAACCUGUAGUGGAUUCCAUUUGCUGAAGAUAUCUUCCAUUGUCACCAGUGCAUCCUUCUAUCUGGCCUUCACGGAUCAGUGGUGCUGCUGUGUGAAUUUGUGCCGCUGUGUCGAAUUGGGCGGAGGCUUCCCUGUCAAGAAGAAGAGAAGCGUUGGGCACUUCAGUGCAGGCAAGGUGGUUGCCCAUGUCCUGGAGGCUAAGAUGUUGGCUUUUGUAGCAGCAGAUUCCCUAUGUAUCUAUCAAGAUGGGAUAUUCAGGUCGCUCUGCGUAGUGGGUGCCUCAUCAUUUACAGGAAAGUUAUUAAUUCUAGGAAGCGAUUGCGUGCUGAUGUAGGACUUGAUGAAGGAGAGGUAUGUCCCAAGUGAACUGGAUUAUUAUGAUGAUUUCGUCGAUUCAUACUCCUUUUUAUCCUGAAAUAAAUGGCUUUCACCUUUGGGCAGUUCAAGUGAUGGAAGAUAUUGUUUCAAUGAUAUUGAAGCUAUUUUUAGAUACUAUGGCAGUUAAGGUUCAUUUGAAGUCGCGGAUGGAUGCAUGAUUUAUGCAGAAAUGUAUAAGUGCCAUGUAGUGGUUAAUUAGAGGUGUUCUUCGACUAAAAUCAGGCUGCUCCUGCCAUGUCUACCAGUGAAAUGCCUCCUUCCAUGAUAAAGCAGCCUACUCUUAGGUACAGAUCUUGGUGUUGAUUCUGCCUCACCUUUCCAGCCGGCAGUGGUUCGGUUUGCUGUAGGUUUCCUCGGUGUUCAGGUACUUCAUGGCAGCGCUGUGGACAUCCAUCACCAUAACCACAUUGAUGGUCCAAGCCCCAACUCACGACAUCAUUUUUAGUUGGGUUGUGAGCACCUCGACAACUCAACAACAAAUAUACUUGAUGUGUAGCCGCAUAUACUACAUCAUCACCGACAUCAUUUCUAUGACAUGCUCAAAGUGAUGUAAUUAACCAAACCAUUACUGUUAUUAGUGCUUAGUUCCUCCUAUAUCUUUGAGAAAUUCUAAUGAUGGAAUGAAUGGACUAUAUUUCCUUCAAUCAGUGGAAUAUAUAUUGUGUAACCAGUAGUGGACUGGGUGGUGCUACCAUCAUGCUUUGCUAUUCAUGUAACAACCUGAAUCGAAUAUGAAUCGCGUUCUACCAAGUUGGAUACAAUGUCACUGCAUUGUAAAUUAGUUAUUAUGUGCUGCAAUUCUUCA